rnacentral:rRNA from 1 species
CGACCGGCGCACGGGUGCGUAACGCGUAUGCAACCUACCAUCAACAGGGGGAUAACACUGAGAAAUUGGUACUAAUACCCCAUAAUAUCUCAUGCGGCAUCGCAUGGGGUUGAAAACUCCGGUGGUUGAUGAUGGGCAUGCGUUGUAUUAGCUGGUUGGUGAGGUAACGGCUCACCAAGGCGACGAUACAUAGGGGGACUGAGAGGUUAACCCCCCACAUUGGUACUGAGACACGGACCAAACUCCUACGGGAGGCAGCAG